AUCAGAGCGUGAGACUUCACAUCUGGAGCACAGGAGAGAUUCUGUGAUAAGUCCUCCUUCUAGCUUGUCCCACUAGCAGUCGAGCUGAGACACUCAGGACUGAACAGACUGCACAGCUUCUGUGACUGAGCCUACAAAACACCUUCUUUGAAACCACACAUGAUAGAAGGGCUUUACGUUUGCAGCAGCACUACUAAAGUCGGCAGGAAUGUUGCUGCAGGAAAACAUC